ensembl:lncRNA LINC01134 long intergenic non-protein coding RNA 1134
GUGUUGGCUCUUUCGUAAGCGGCGGGCGAAGGUCACAGGCCUUGGGCCAGUGGUGGGACACUGGAGCAGGAAGUCGGCCUGUGGCCGGCCAUGUUCAUGAGGGCGCGUCCCUUGGCACCCCUGUAGCCGCUAUGUUUCCCACGCCCGUGGCAGGCCUGAGAGAUUAUGUUUGCGGGGGGUGCUUUUUUUGUAGCUUCUGUGUUCGCCAUAUUUGAAAGGGGCAGACGGCCAUGUUCGUGAACGGCGCUUCCCUUGGUGCACCUGUGGCCGCCAUGUUUGAGCGAGGAAAGCCAGGGGUCUGUGCGGGGAUGCUGCAGGACACGAGAACCAGCCAAGACCUAUGGCCCCUGCAGCCACCGAGGGCUCGAGAGCGCCCCUGUGGACUUGGCUGGGCCCUUCAUGGUGACAUCCAGGAAUGCGGCUGAGCGCGGGUGUUGACCUCGCUGUUUGCUGGAAUGUUUGGGUUCUUGGACCAUGUCAGUGACGGCUGUGUCACCAUGGCCUUGCUAUCCCCAGGAAAACCUAACAUGCACCCCGCGCCUGUC